rnacentral:sRNA from 1 species
UCUGAGACUAGGGUGAGAAGCAGCUCUAUCAGGGCCCUCCCUGAGCUUCCAGGAAGUGAGUUCCCAGAGAAUGAGGUACCAACAAGGGUUUGGCUGAACAGCUGUUUGCUAAGAAAGAAGUCCAAUAUUGGAAAUGCAUUUAUUCAG